GACGAACGCUGGCGGCGUGCUUAACACAUGCAAGUCGAACGGAAAGGCCCUGCUUUUGUGGGGUGCUCGAGUGGCGAGCGGGUGAGUAACACGUGAGUAACCUGCCCUUGACUUUGGGAUAACUUCAGGAAACUGGGGCUAAUACCGGAUAGGAGCUCCUGCUGCAUGGUGGGGGUUGGAAAGUUUCGGCGGUUGGGGAUGGACUCGCGGCUUAUCAGCUUGUUGGUGGGGUAGUGGCUUACCAAGGCUUUGACGGGUAGCCGGCCUGAGAGGGUGACCGGCCACAUUGGGACUGAGAUACGGCCCAGACUCCUUCGGGAGGCAGCAGUGGGGAAUAUUGCACAAUGGGCGGAGUCCUGAUGCAGCAACGCCGCGUGCUGGAUGACGGCCUUCGGGUUGUAAACCGCUUUCGCCUGUGACGAAGCGUGAGUGACGGUAAUGGGUAUAGAAGCACCGGCUAACUACGUG
rnacentral:rRNA from 1 species